CAUUAGUUAGCCCUUAAAAACGUUUCUCCAGGUUUUAUGGCAUUGAGCCCACUGCAUUCUUAUUGUUAGAAGUCUUUAUAGACAUCCAAGUGCUAACAAAUGCGAAAUAAAGGAACCUGUUUUUCAUGUUGCCAGAGGAAAACUUCAAACCAAAGGAAAAGCAGAAAAAGAAAUAUUUGUUCAAGAUUUUCUAAACUCCAUUGAGAACGUGAUUCAGAUGCACUGUCAACUUUCCAACUCACACCUGAGUUCACCUGGAAACCAAAGGCAAGUGUUCCUGUGCUCAUGCCCUCAGAAAAAGAAGAGGAUAGAGAAAAGAAAUCUAAACGUACUUUGACAAUUCUGGAAAGAACUUCAAUCAUGAUGAGAAGUUACUCCUCCACAACCAAAGGAAAAAUAAUAAAAAAAGUAUCUAAUUACAAUGACUAGAAAAUACCACAGGAAGAAAUGGUUCAAGG
ensembl:lncRNA